AUUAGAGUUUGAUCCUGGCUCAGAACGAACGCUGGCGGCGUGCUUAACACAUGCAAGUCGAGUGCGCGUGCCGUAGCAAUACGGUAUGGCGCACGGCGCACGGGUGCGUAACACGUGGGCAAUCUGCCCUCCGAUGGGGGAUAACCCGCCGAAAGGCGGGCUAAUACCGCAUAACAUUCCGGGGACUCCGGUUCCUGGACUCAAAGACGUAAGUCGUCGGAGGUGGAGCCCGCGCCCGAUUAGCUAGUUGGUGAGGUAAUGGCUCACCAAGGCAAUGAUCGGUAGCUGGUCUGAGAGGAUGGCCAGCCACACUGGAACUGAGACACGGUCCAGACUCCUACGGGAGGCAGCAGUGGGGAAUCUUGCGCAAUGGGCGAAAGCCUGACGCAGCGACGCCGCGUGGGGGAUGAAGCACCUCGGUGUGUAAACCCCUUUCGACUGGGACGAAUGCCUCGCAAGAGGAGUGACGGUACCAGUAGAAGAAGCCCCGGCUAACUACGUGCCAGCAGCCGCGGUAAGACGUAGGGGGCCAGCGUUGUUCGGAAUUACUGGGUGUAAAGGGUUCGUAGGCGGUGUAGCAAGUCGGGAGUGAAAUCUCUGGGCUUAACUCAGAGGCUGCUUCCGAAACUGCUGUGCUGGAGUGUGGGAGAGGCGCGUGGAAUUGCAGGUGUAGCGGUGAAAUGCGUAGAUAUCUGCAGGAACACCCGUGGCGAAGGGCGGCGCGCUGGACCACUACUGACGCUGAGGAACGAAAGCUAGGGGAGCAAACAGGAUUAGAUACCCUGGUAGUCCUAGCCCUAAACGAUCAGGACUUGGGGUGCCACCCGUUCGGGUGUCGUCCCGGAGCUAACGCGUUAAGUCCUGCACCUGGGGAGUACGGUCGCAAGACUGAAACUCAAAGGAAUUGACGGGGGCCCGCACAAGCGGUGGAACAUGUGGUUCAAUUCGACGCUACGCGAGGAACCUUACCUGGGCUCGAAAUGCUUCUGACCAGCUGUG
rnacentral:rRNA from 1 species